CUCUAAUAUUGGGAUAGUUUUUAUGCAAGUCUUGAUUUUCACAUACCGUAAUUAGUUUAACAAUGCAACAUGUAUCGUAAGCAUAUAAUUGAUAUUCGUAUAUGUGUGUGUGUGUAAAGUGAAGGUGACAACUGGCUGGUUUUUUAAGACAAAUGAAUAGGUCAAGACUAGCUGAAUUGUACAAAUAAAUACCGUAGAAAGGCUUGUAUAUUUCUCACUGGUACAUAGUCUGAAUCUGAGUCCGUUCGCUUCCAUUCACGUUUGCGCCCACUCAUUUUCACCCCUUUCACUUUCACACCCUACAUGUUCACACCCAAUCUUAAUUGGUUUUGUGUUUAAUAAACUAUGUAAGCAAGUGUUUUCUUAUAAGUAUAAUUGUUGUCAUUGUCUCAAAAUAAAGUGAGACAGCAAUUUUUUUUUUUGUGUUGAAUAAAUCUUAAUUAUGUUUUGGAUAAGGUAUUGCUAAAAAUAAUAAUAAUCCUUUCUAAAUAAAGUGGUAUUUUGUCAACGUUUUAUUUUGUGUUGAAUAACUCUUAAUCAUGUUUUGGUUAGUGUAUUGCUAUAACUUGUUUCAUUGACUUGUUUCAAAAUGAAGUGAGAUUCUGACUAUGUUUGUUUCUGCGUGUUGAAUAAAUUUUAUCAUGUUUUGGUUAUAUUAGUGGAUUGCUAUAUUUUGGUUUCUAUGUUUUAUUGUUUCGUUGUUUCAGAUCAAUGGGACCAAGCUGUUAAAAACAAUUAUCUUUUGUGUUUUUUCCUUUAAAAUCUUCAAUGUUUUACUCAUACCAAGCUAUAAAUACAUUCAGUAUUUACACCAAAGCAAUUUAAAACAACAACCAUAAUUUUCCAAUUAUUCAACUUGAAUUUGAAUUAAAAUUGGGCGUGAAUGAGUAGAGUGUGAAUGUGCGAACGUGUAGGGUGCGAAAAUGUAUUGGGCACAAACAGACCUGAUGCCACACAGUCUGAACCCCCUUCUCCCACAAAAUAUUAAGUAAAUAAUCUUUUUGUUACUGCUAUCAAAGGUCUAAUGAAACUCAGAUAGUUUCAAACAUUUGUCAAAGAAUUCUAGUCAAACUGGCACCUAGUUAAAUUGGCACCUGAACGUCGUAGGAAGG
rnacentral:lncRNA from 1 species